GAUGAACGCUGGCGGCGUGCCUAAUACAUGCAAGUCGAGCGAACAGGUGAGGAGCUUGCUCCUCUGACGUUAGCGGCGGACGGGAGAGUAACACGUGGAUAACCUACCUAUAAGACUGGGAUAACUUCGGGAAACCGGAGCUAAUACCGGAUAAUAUAUUGAACCGCGUGGUUCAAUAGUAAAAGACGGUUUUGCUGUCACUUAUAGAUGGAUCCGCGCCGCAUUAGCUAGUUGGUAAGGUAACGGCUUACCAAGGCAACGAUGCGUAGCCGACCUGAGAGGGUGAUCCGCCACACUGGAACUGAGCCACGGCCCAGACUCCGACGGGAGGCAGCAGUAGGGAAGCGUCCGCAAAGUGCGAAAGCCUGACGGAGCAACGGCGCGUGAGUGAUGAAGGUCUUCGUAUCGUAAAACGCUGUUAUUAGGGAAGAACAAAUGUGUAAGUAACUAUGCACGUCUUGACGGUACCGAAUCAGAAAGCCACGGCUAACUACGU
rnacentral:rRNA from 1 species